GCUCCCCCACUGGCCGCCCCCCCCUCCCCGCACGUCGCGGGCGUUCCUUCGCCUAGGCCACGCCCCCCGGGCCGGCGGGUGGGGGCGGGGGCGGGGGCGGGGCAGGGAAGGGGCGGGCGCUGCUUCUUUCAUACCGGCGUUCAUUGGCGGAGAGGCGCUGCACGCUGUAGUAGCUGAUUGGGUGUGGCGGAUGUCCGUCAGGGCUGAGAGCUUUUAAAUACGACUGUAGGCCGCCCUUCUGCGCCACGCGGUCGGGGAGUGGGUUGCGGGGCAGGCUGUGCUGCUCCGCGGGCGCUGGGCACGGGGCGUGUUCAGGCCUGCAGGCGGAGCGGUGCAGUGUGUCCCCAGCACUCGAGGGUCCCCAGCCCUGCUGCCGCGGGGAGGCUGUGCAGAGGGCACUUUCCUCAGUCACAGCACACAUCACUCGCGGGUGAAAUGCAGCAAGAAGACGUGGCUGCCAGGGGUCGGGACAGGGCCAGGCUCUUCGGGACCCGCUAGCCUGAGACUAGAGUUCAUCACCGAAGCGGGAAGGUAACCAGUGAAAAGACGAGCACAGCGCAGCGGCGCGUGUCUGUAAGGAGGCUGCGAAGCGACACUGCCCACAGCCGGGUCUGCCACUUCUCUUGUGUCGAACCCGAAAGGUGCGGCUGGGCCCUCAAACGCGCCUGCGCUGGAGCUGCAAGUGGGGAAGAUAAAUACUGCCAUUAUGCUGAAUUUGGUAGAUUCAAGAUUUGCUCUCCACUUCCGUGAUUGAAGAGAGACCCACUUGACUCUUACCUGUGUCGUGGAACUAAACGCCACGCUGACAUUUCGUCUGCACACUCAGCGUAUUAACUGCUAGCAGCGAGAGAAGCUGAAGCAACUCUGCCUGGUUGUGUCCAGGCUCCAACUUUUAUACAACAAUGUAAAAAACCCGCGCGUGCGAACAAUGGGAUCAUAUGUGGUCAAUCAGGAAAUGGAGUCUUUAUGCUGGCACCUCACAGUACUUUUCCCCUUUCCUUAUACUUCCCGCUCGCUUCCGUGCCUACGUAACAAGUUCACUCAGAGUUAAUGGUCUCCGGAGCCAUCUUAGGUGACUGGCUUCCACAAUCCCUCCUUUUGGCCCAGCUACGCCCAGGCCAACCCAAACUGCUACCAUUAACUCAAUACAGUCUAAUACCCAUAAGAUCUUUUCUCUCCUCUUCUCUUGUUUCUUCUCAAUCUCCUUCAUUAUCAUCAACUGAAUGCCAGUGGUGCAUGCUUGUCUAAUUGCAGUGGCUUUACAUAGUUUACAGCAACAUGUAAUCUUUUGAACACAGACAAAUCUGACAAUGAGUACGAAUGCUCCUAUUAUAAGGUACUUGAGCAUUUCCCUUAUCCACCCAUUGACAUUUGGGAGCCAUCCCUAAAAGGACAGACUAGCGGGUGGCUCUUUUCCUUCUUCAAAUUCAGCCAAAGCCUUCUCCAUUGACUGGAUGUGCUCAUUGAUCUCUUGGGAUUUGUCUGGUAUAUAGAUACAACGUUCAUUCCCUACUAAUGCACAGGUUCCACCCUUGCUUGCAAGUAUAAUAUCUAGAGCCAUUCAGUUUUGCAUUGCUACUAGUCUGGUGGCAUAUAUUUCUAAAUGUAUGUCCUUUAAAGCACCUAUAGUUUCAUUGGCAAAUUUUUCAAAGCUUUUACUUAAGGCAUUAACUCCCCGCAUAGCCUUGGCAGCUCCAUACCAUGGAAAGGCAGACCCAAAAGUCCCUUGGACAUCAUUUAUGUAUGGAACAGAUGUUGGCGCAGAGAUGCGAACAGUCCUUUUGUUUCUUACCCGUCCCCCCAACCUGGGUUGCACCCUGAUACCUGGAAUAACAAUUCCAAGAUAACAACUACUUUUCCAGUUUGGAGGGAGCCAUUUGUAGGCUUUUUUCCCACAGAUAAAGUAGCUGCCCACAAACGCUGUGCGGGCUAAUGAAAUAUUGCAUGUCUCUGGGGCAAAAUAGUGAAAUAUUCCAUCUGCAGUGACAUUGGU